AUAAUGGUACUCCCGUCCAGUCACAAGUCCGAGCGUGAUAAAACCGUCGCAGACAAUGAGGGCGGCUCUGGCAGACCGUCAGAGGGGUGGAACUCCCGUGG
rfam:Firmicutes bacterium CAG:646 genomic scaffold, scf112